AAAGUGUGAAUAUUCAAAAUUUGAGGGGUUAAAGCAUAAAUUUAUAAAAAUUUGAAGGACCAAAAGCGUGAAUAUCCAAAAAAUUCCUUGUGAUGAAAUUUGUAAGAAAGGACUAAAUUGAAUAAGUGGAUAAAUAUAAAGGACUAAAUCAUAAUUUUACCAAAUAAAGUAGUCGUUCAAGGGAGAAAUUGUAAAAAAUGUUGAGAGGUAAAAUAAUUAUUUUCUAAAUAGGAUAAUUAUCAUGAAAUUAUG
rnacentral:lncRNA from 1 species